CAGCCGUAAACUAUGCGCGUUAGGUGUACUGGUGACCACGAGUCACCGGGGUGCCGAAGGGAAACCGUGAAACGUGCCGCCUGGGAAGUACGGUCGCAAGGCUGAAACUUAAAGGAAUUGGCGGGGGGAGGCACCACAACGGGUGGGAGCCUGCGGUUUAAUUGGACUCAACGCCGGAAAUCUCACCGGAUAGGACAGACAUAUGAUAGUCGGGCUGAAGACUCUACUUGAUGAUCUGAGAGGAGGUGCAUGGCGUCAGUGACU
rnacentral:rRNA from 1 species